CCUACGGGAUGCAGCAGUGAGGAAUAUUGGUCAAUGGACGAGAGUCUGAACCAGCCAAGUAGCGUGAAGGAUGACUGCCCUAUGGGUUGUAAACUUCUUUUAUAUGGGAAUAAAAUGUUCCACGUGUGGGAUUUUGUAUGUACCAUAUGAAUAAGGAUCGGCUAACUCCGUGCCAGCAGCCGCGGUAAUACGGAGGAUCCGAGCGUUAUCCGGAUUUAUUGGGUUUAAAGGGAGCGUAGGUGGAUUGUUAAGUCAGUUGUGAAAGUUUGCGGCUCAACCGUAAAAUUGCAGUUGAAACUGGCAGUCUUGAGUACAGUAGAGGUGGGCGGAAUUCGUGGUGUAGCGGUGAAAUGCUUAGAUAUCACGAAGAACUCCGAUUGCGAAGGCAGUUCACUGGACUGCAACUGACACUGAGGCUCGAAAGUGUGGGUAUCAAACAGGAUUGGAUACCCUUGUAGUC
rnacentral:rRNA from 1 species